rnacentral:rRNA from 1 species
GAUGAACGCUAGCGAUAGGCUUAACACAUGCAAGUCGAGGGACCGGCGAAUGGGUGAGUAACACGUAUGCAACUUACCUCUUAGUGGUGAAUAACUCGAUGAAAGUCGGACUAAUACACCAUACUAAGAGAUAGGCCUGCGUUCCAUUAGCUAGUUGGUAAGGUAACGGCUUACCAAGGCAACGAUGGAUAGGGGGACUGAGAGGUUGACCCCCCACAUUGACACUGAGAUACGGGUCAAACUCCUACGGGAGGCAGCAGUGAGGAAUAUUGGUCAAUGGGCGAGAGCCUGAACCAGCCAAGUCGCGUGAAGGAAGACUGCCCGGGUUGUAAAGUACCACGGAAAGGCAUUCGUUACUCGCAGAAGAAGCACCGGCUAACUCCGUGCCAGCAGCCGCGGUAAUAC